rnacentral:rRNA from 1 species
CCUACGGGAGGCAGCAGUGAGGAAUAUUGGUCAAUGGACGAGAGUCUGAACCAGCCAAGUAGCGUGAAGGAUGACUGCCCUAUGGGUUGUAAACUUCUUUUAUAUGGGAAUAAAAUGUUCCACGUGUGGGAUUUUGUAUGUAUCAUAUGAAUAAGGAUCGGCUAACUCCGUGCCAGCAGCCGCGGUAAUACGGAGGAUCCGAGCGUUAACCGGAUUUAUUGGGUUUAAAGGGAGCGUAGGUGGAUUGUUAAGUCAGUUGUGAAAGUUUGCGGCUCAACCGUAAAAUUGCAGUUGAAACUGGCAGUCUGGAGUACAGUAGAGGUGGGCGGAAUUCGUGGUGUAGCGGUGAAAUGCUUAGAUAUCACGAAGAACUCCGAUUGCGAAGGCAGCUCACUGGACUGCAACUGACACUGAGGCUCGAAAGUGUGGGUAUCAAACAGGAUUAGAUACCCGUGUAGUC